UGGGCUGGUAUUAUUAAAGAUGAGCUAGUUGGACCUUUUUGGGUUGAAGAUUGACUCAAAAUCAACUCCCAAAACUACUGCCAGUUUUUAGAAGACACUUUCUUCUAAAGCAGUGGUACAGGAAAAAUGCACCUUUUCAAGAAGA